rnacentral:rRNA from 1 species
GACGAACGCUGGCGGCGUGCCUAACACAUGCAAGUCGAGCGAGUGAAUCUCCUUCGGGAGUGAAGCUAGCGGCGGACGGGUGAGUAACACGUGGGCAACCUGCCUCAUAGAGGGGAAUAGCCUUCCGAAAGGAAGAUUAAUACCGCAUAAGAUUGUAGCUUCGCAUGAAGUAGCAAUUAAAGGAGCAAUCCGCUAUGAGAUGGGGCCCCGCGGCGCAUUAGCUAGUUGGUGAGGUAACGGCUCACCAAGGCGACGAUGCGUAGCCGACCUGAGAGGGUGAUCGGCCACAUUGGGACUGAGACACGGCCCAGACUCCUACGGGAGGCAGCAGUGGGGAAUAUUGCACAAUGGGGAAACCCUGAUGCAGCAACGCCGCGUGAGUGAUGACGGGCCUUCGGGUUGUAAAGCUCU